rnacentral:rRNA from 1 species
CCUACGGGGUGCAGCAGUAGGGAAUAUUGCUCAAUGGGGGAAACCCUGAAGCAGCAACGCCGCGUGGAGGAUGAAGGUUUUAGGAUUGUAAACUCCUUUUUUUAGAGAAGUUAAUGACGGUAUCUCACGAUUAUGCACCGGCUAACUCCGUGCCAGCAGCCGCGGUAAUACGGAGGGUGCAAGCGUUAUUCGGAAUCACUGGGCGUAAAGAGUGCGCAGGCGGGCUUGUAAGUCAGAUGUGAAAUCAUGUAGCUUAACUACAGAACUGCAUUUGAAACUAUGAGUCUAGAGUGUGGGAGAGGUAGGUGGAAUUCUUGGUGUAGGGGUAAAAUGCGUAGAUAUCAAGAGGAAUACUCAUUGCGAAGGCGACCUACUGGAACAUUACUGACGCUCAUGCACGAAAGCGUGGGGAGCAAACAGGAUUAGAUACCCUUGUAGUC